UACGAAGGGGGCUAGCGUUGCUCGGAAUUACUGGGCGUAAAGGGAGCGUAGGCGGACAUUUAAGUCAGGGAUGAAAUCCCAGAGCUCAACUCUGGAACUGCCUUUGAUACUGGGUGUCUUGAGUGUGAUAGAGGUAUGUGGAACUCCGAGUGUAGAGGUGAAAUUCGUAGAUAUUCGGAAGAACACCAGUGGCGAAGGCGACAUACUGGAUCAUUACUGACGCUGAGGCUCGAAAGCGUGGGGAGCAAACAGG
rnacentral:rRNA from 1 species